UGUUGUGAUAUGUUAGUUUGGCAUUUGCUAGAAUGGAUUAUUAUAUGCUAGUAUGGCUGGUUUGAUCGGCAUCCUGGUAGACUGGAUGUGGCUAUGUUUAGUGGCUUGUAGUUGGUCGGAUUGCCUGUAUACUGGUAGGAGAUUACUUGUGAUAUGUGCGCAAGUUUGAGCAAUUGUAGAGGGUAUUCCAUCCCGGUAGGAUGAUAGGGCCCUAGUACUUAGUUUUGUGGACUAUUAUGUGAUUAUCUUGUAAUCACACAUGUUUGUUAGUAUGUGGGCAUUCCAACCCGAUGGUUGUGGGCCAGGAGUAUUCCAUACAGGUAGGAUGAUUGGACUCAUAGUAUGUUGGCAUUCCAACCCGAUGGUUGUGGGCCAGGAGUAUUCCAUCCCGGUAGGAUGAUUGGACUCGUAGUAGGUUGGCAUUGCAACCCGAUGGUAGAGGGCCUGGGGUAUCCCAUUCUGAGGGAUGAUUGGACCCUUAGUAGUGGUUGUAUGUGUAGGUGUCCAGGCAUUCCAACCCGAUGGUUGUGGGCCGAGAGUAUUCCAUUAUGGUAGGAUGAUUGGACUCAUAGUAUGUUGGCAUUUCAACCCGAUGGUUGAGGGCCAGGGGUAUUCCAACCGGAUGGUUGAUUGGACCCAUUGUAUGUUGUUUAUUGUUGUAUGUGUAUGGUUAUGUGUGUAUGGGUAUUUUGGGGGAACUCACUAAGCUUUCGAGCUUACGGUUUCAGUUUAUUGUUUCAGGUACAUUAGGUGAUCGUGGCAAGGCAAAGGCGUGAUCGUACCGCUCCUCAUAUUUCAUGAUUUUGUGAUUUGGUUCUGGGGAUACUCUGAUGUUUAAAACUGUUUUGAAAACAAGUUGUAUUAACUUAUUGGUUUUUGAAUGGAUUAAAAUGUUUUAAAUUGGUUUAGAUUUUAUGGAUGUUCCAAGUUGGUAUCAGAGCCUUGGUUUGAGUGAAUUGGAUGGACAUUCGUGUGACUCCAGUCUCAAAUCAAGGAAGGUUUUUUUAUAUGGUUUUCAAAUGGCUUUCAAAAUAAGUAAAGGAGGAUGCAGAGGGUACGAUCAGCCGGAGCCAGUAAGUUGACCCCAAAUACCAUACAAGUUAUUUUAUUAUGUGAUAUGUUAGAACAAUAUGCUAGUACUAGGCUAGGGAUCUCUAGGAAUUGCAUGAUAGGAUUGCCUGAUUAUGUGAUGCCUGCUAGCCUAGGGUCUCCUUAUGUGAGAUACUCAGUAUUCCUCUAGGGGUGAGGAUUGAACGCUUGCUAUGUGUGUAUAUGUCUAGGGCGUUGUGGUGAUACUUGAGACAAAUAUAAGUAGGUGUGGAAGGUAGUAUGGGCCCGUACUACUGAAAGCACGAGACCUAGCGUAUCAAGGAAGUCACAACCCCUGGGGUGUUGGUUUGCAGUUAGUUACCAGGCUGUUAUGAGGCGUAUCUGAGGAUCUUUUUGGUGUGCUGCAGAAUGGCGAUUACAAGACGCUUCGGAGCAGGAUUCGGUUCCGGAUCCGGAUCAGGAGAGGGUGAUCAGGAUGGAUCUGUACCACCCGAGGUCAUUGGUCGGAUGAGGACGGAUGAGUUGGAUGCUAGGAUUCGUGAUAUUCUGCAUGAUGAGGUUGCUGCUAUGUUCCGNCCAGCCGCAGCGGCUGUAGCAGCGGAAGGAGGAGGAGCCGGUCAGGGCUUUCAGUAUUGGGACUUCGAUAAUACGAAGCCACCUACUUUUGAUGGGGUUCAGGAUCCGAUCGUUCCUAUGACAUCGUUGUCAGACGUGGAGGGAUGUUUCUUCAUGUGUUCAUGCCCUGCUGAUCAGAUGGUGAGGUGUGCUCUGAACCUGUUGAGGCUCAAGGCAAAGGAUUGGUGGAGGUUGACUACGGGAUCAUAUUCUGAUGCGCAGCGAGCUGCGUUACUUGGGAUCAGUUCCGAGACAUGUUCAGUACUCGUUAUGUUCCGUGGGAUGAGCGGGAGAGAUUGGCUCAAGAGUUUCUGAAGUUGAAGCAGGAUUCUGAGUCGGCGACGGAUAUCACCAGGAUGUUUAUGGAGAGGGCGAUGUUUUGCGCCGAGUUCGCUUCAGAUAAGGCUCAGAUGACCCGGUAUCUUAGCAUGCUCAAGACAGAUAUUCGACAGUUCGUGUCUACACAGAGAUGUGAUACCUUGUUGGAGUUGCAGCAGGCCGCCAGGCAGCGCGCGUUAGAGAUCGAGCUCCGGUUGAGAGAGCAAAAGCAGGCCCCGGUGCAGUCGCAGCCUGCGCCGAAACGGUUGAGGGCCGUUGAUUAUCGACAGGGAGGUCAAAGGAGUCGCACUUGCGGGAAGUGCGGCAAGGUGCAUAAAGGAAGUUGUCGUUCUUCUUCUGGGUGCCACAAGUGUGGCAAGGAGGGCCACAUAUCCAGGGAUUGCAGGUAGCAGGUUCCAGCUGUCGGAGUUCAACUUUGUUAUCCUUGUGAUCAGGUGGGCCAUAUGAAGGCCCAAUGUCCUCUACUGGCUGCCAGGCCAGUGCAGGCCCCAUCAUCAGCCACUUUGAGACUUACUGAAGGGGGUCAGGGUCGAGCAGAGCCUCCAAAGGCUCCAGGGCGUGCCUAUCAGCUUGUAACCGAGGAGAUCGGGACAGCGCCAGAGAUGACAGCCGGUAUGUCUUUUCUUUUAUACUUUGAUCAUGUUAUUAUUAUGAGAUUUUUUGUUUCCUACAUGAGUUAUUAGAGUAUAGUAGAUGCUUUUGAGAAGUUAUUAUCAGGAGGUUAUAGAGGGGUAGUAUCCGGUGAUUCCUUCAAGAGAAGGAGAGGUCAUGAUCCAGAGAUUCGGAGUCAUCUGCAAGAACUUGGAUCCCUCGAAGUUCGUUGUCUCGAAUUGGGACGAUUGGGUCGCGUACUGGCGUCACCGCCCGUAGACAUUAGUAAGUGAUCUAAGUGGGGGAGAAUUGGGAAUUCUCGGAUGGUGCGUUGUCUUGAAGGAUGUCGCCUGACGCAGUUUGGAUGUUGGUUCGGGAGUGGUGCAAUGAGGCGGUCCAGUUAUGGUAAGAACCCUGCUUGUAUUGUGGAUCUUUGAGCGAGCAAUGGGAAUACUGCUAUGCUAUAGAAAUCAGUAGGAUUGUUCCCAAGUGUCGAAAAUGAUGAGGGGCAUGCGAAAUACUCUUUAUGGAUUGUAAGUUAUGCAAUCAGUUUCUGGGUAUAUAUGUGUAUUAUGGGUUUGCGACGUGCUCCACAAGUAGAUGAUGUAGAGUGAGAUUCCGACAUUUCGGCACCGACUGAUGAUGCAAAGUCAUGGUUAGGUCUCCUUGGAAGAGGAGAAAGGUGAGUAGCUUCAGAUUGGAGAUUUGGCAGAGGAGUUAGAGAUAGCGGAGUUGCUGGACUCGGGAGCAGUCUAGACCGGUGCUGAGAACUGUGUGAGGACAUUUCAGUCGUAGGUUGUGGACCUAGAGAUCGCAAUAGUAAUGUUCCCUGUCGUGGUACGUUUGGAGUAGACAUGAUGACGGGAUAUGGGUGAGUUGCACUCGGUUGAGUCGAAUCAUAGUAGUUUUGAGGAAGCUGCAAGGUUGGAUCCUUGGGCUUCAAGUAUGAUUGUAGACUUGGUGUAUGUGCGUAGUGGUAUGCAAAUCUAGGGUAUUCCAUCAUGAGGAUUACCGGAACCUAUGAUUGAUUGGACAUAAUGUGUUUGGUAUUCCAACCCGAGGGUUGAUUACAUGUGUAGGGAUACAAGGGUAUUCCAUCAUAGGGAUGAGCGGACCCGUCGUGGGCAUGCCUGGGAUUUCAACCCGAGGCUGAUUGGGCCAGGUGUGAGUGUUCGUUUAUGUGAGGGUAUUGUUAUAUGUGCGUUUGGGUAUGAGUUGAAAGAGAACAAGUGUUGUAGGCAGCAAAAUUUGACCCGUGGUUCUGUUUUCGGGUCGGAAGCUCAGGUUCCCAUGGUUGAGUAGUCCUUUUGAUAGUAAUGGGAAGAGGUCAGGUGAUGGUUAGUUUGGGCGGCCUGUCAAGGAGACGGAUCCAAUCUAACUUUCCAAGUAAAGGGCAUUCUGGGGAGGUAGGUAUUUGAUACUGCAUGAGAAUAAGUAUGUAUCUAUUUGAGUUGGAGUUCCAGUGGGGUUAGCCUCCCUUGGGGGUCGUCACGCUUUAGGGGCAUGAAUGUGCCUUUCGAGAUUUUUAGUAGCCAGAAUUGGCAGUUGGCGAUUUCGAGGGCGAAAUCAGAUUUAAUAGGGGGAGAGUUGUAACGCCCCGUUCUAAAAGUAUUUAUUUAUAGAUUCCCGAGAUAAAGAUUAAAGGCAUUUCGGUCUUUUAUGGGCAAUGGGUUUCAUUUGAGAAGGUUUCGGACCGGGGUGUGUUGCUAGAAGCAUAUGGCUUCUCUCCACCUUUUCGUGGAUAUAAAGUUCUUCGGGAACAAACUUAGAAUAAAGGAGUUAUGACACUUUGAAGAUAUUGACAUUUAUGGCCCUUAAUGGAAAAAGUGGACGAGGAAGGCCAUGCAUGCAAUUUGGGACAUGCAUGGGUACGCCCAACGUAGGCUGGGUACACCCAUCGUAAUAGAGUAAAUGAUCGCUGGUGCAAGGACGCGUACGCCCAUCGUACGCUCAGAGUCAUUAAACCCUAAUUUUUGGGUCGGCCACUAUAUAAGGAACAUAAGGGAUCAACCCCAGCCUCCUUAUUUGUUCCCUUAUCCUCAGAAAAACCCUAGAAAGCCAUUCCAUCUCCAUUGGUGGGUGUGUUUCGCCUUAUGGAGCUUAGUUUGGAAAAGAAAAGCUUAGAAGAAGAAAGAAGAGGUUGGCAAAGAAGCAAUCUUGGUGGCUGGAGUUUGUAGAUCUGAGAUAGCAUCACCUAUUGCAACUGUUUGGAGGUAUAAAGUUCACAACUUUCCUUAUAGAAGCAUAGAUCUAGUCGUAGGGAGCUUUGGGAUCUUUUUAGGUCCAAAGAUUUGACCUUUAUGGUGUAACUUCGUUCCAAAGCUUGGGAUUGCCACCCUUAGAGCUAAAAAUGUCCCAUGAGCAGCAAAGUCUCGAUUUUGAUUGUCCUAUUAAGCCCAUGCAUGAGAUCUAGUUCCCUUUAUGGAUGUAGAUGAUCACUUUGGAAGUGUGAGAUGGUUUGAGCCAUAUAAAGUCACCAAGUCAGUGACUUUAUGGUGUAUGGCGUGAAAUAAGACUUGGAUCUGAGUUGGUAGCUUCUGAAUCGAGGUAUUCUGCUCUUAAUAGAAAAAGGACUUAACAGGGGAAUUGCGUUGAACGUACAUGCAGGUACGCCCAGCGUACUCGUCAUUUUGCCUGUACGCUUAGCGUACAUGGGGGGUACGCCCCGCAUACUCUGUCUGUAUGGAUCAUGAGUUUUUGGGCCGUGGUUUGGGGCAUGUUUAGGUAUUUGGGCCUUAGUGGGUCAUCAGAAAUCAUAUUAUAUGGGCCAAGGAAUAUAUUUUGGGCUUAGGGUGAAGCCCAUUAAAGGAUUGGGCCCAAUGUAGCAAAUUGGGCCAUUAGUGGGUCACUAGUAGGCUUGGGAAGCUAACCUGGUGUUGGGCCUUAGUCAUGGACCAGUUUGGGUUAAGGGUAAAAAUGGUAAAUUUACCCUUAGAAGGAUAUUUUUUUGGGGAUAAGUGUUGUUGUGGCAUUGAUAGUUCGGGGGAGCUAGAGGAGCAGUAGUGUGGGGAUUGUCAGAUAGCACCCAGAAGGGUACCGGUAGUGUUUCAGCAGUUCAAGGUGAGUUAUCCUCACUAUACCAAGGGUCUAAGGCACCAAGGCCGACCCUUUGAAUUGUUAUUUGAGUAAUUGUUGUUGUGAUAUGUUAGUUUGGCAUUUGCUAGAAUGGAUUAUUAUAUGCUAGUAUGGCUGGUUUGAUCGGCAUCCUGGUAGACUGGAUGUGGCUAUGUUUAGUGGCUUGUAGUUGGUCGGAUUGCCUGUAUACUGGUAGGAGAUUACUUGUGAUAUGUGCGCAAGUUUGAGCAAUUGUAGAGGGUAUUCCAUCCCGGUAGGAUGAUAGGGCCCUAGUACUUAGUUAUGUGGACUAUUAUGUGAUUAUCUUGUAAUCACACAUGUUUGUUAGUAUGUGGGCAUUCCAACCCGAUGGUUGUGGGCCAAGAGUAUUCCAUUAUGGUAGGAUGAUUGGACUCAUAGUAUGUUGGCAUUUCAACCCGAUGGUUGAGGGCCAGGGGUAUUCCAACCGGAUGGUUGAUUGGACCCAUUGUAUGUUGUUUAUUGAUGUAUGUGUAUGGUUAUGUGUGUAUGGGUAUUUUGGGGGAACUCACUAAGCUUUCGAGCUUACCGUUUCAGUUUAUUAUUUCAGAUACAUCAGGUGAUCGUGGCAAGGCAAAGGCAUGAUCGUACCGCUCCUCAUAUUUCAUGAUUUUGUGAUUUGGUUCUGGGGAUACUCUGAUGUUUAAAACUGUUUUGAAAACAAGUUGUAUUAACUGAUUGGUUUUUGAAUGGAUUAAAAUGUUUUAAAUUGGUUUAGAUUUUAUGGAUGUUACAAGUUGGUAUCAGAGCCUUGGCUUGAGUGAAUUGGAGGGACAUUCGUGUGACUCCAGUCUCAAAUCAAGGAAGGUUUUUUUUUUUUAAAUGGUUUUCAAAUGGCUUUCAAAAUAAGUAAAGGAGGAUGCAGAGGGUACGAUCAGCCGGUGCCAGUAAGUUGACCCCAAAUACCAUACAAGUUAUUUUAUUAUGUGAUAUGUUAGAACAAUAUGCUAGUACUAGGCUAGGGAUCUCCAGGAAUUGCAUGAUAGGAUUGCUUGAUUAUGUGAUGCGUGCUAGCCUAGGGUCUCCUUAUGUGAGAUACUCAGUAUUCCUCUAGGGGUGAGGAUUGAACGCUUGCUAUGUGUGUGUAUGUCUAGGGCGUUGUGGUGAUACUUGAAACAAAUAUAAGUAGGUAUGGAAGGUAGUAUGGGCCCGUACUACUGAAAGCACGAGACCCAUACGCGUAUCAAGGAAGUCACAACCCCUGGGGUGUUGGUUUGCAGUUAGUUACCAGGCUGUUAUGAGGCGUAUCUGAGGAUCUUUUUGGUGUGCUGCAGAAUGGCGAUUACAAGACGCUUCGGAGCAGGAUUCGGUUCCGGAUCCGGAUCAGGAGAGGGUGAUCAGGAUGGAUCUGUACCACCCGAGGUCAUUGGUCGGAUGAGGACGGAUGAGUUGGAUGCUAGGAUUCGUGAUAUUCUACAUGAUGAGGUUGCUGCUAUGUUCCAGGCUGAGUUGUCAGAGUUGUUUGGGUCGAUCAAGACCGCCAUGGUUGAGUACUUCGAUGAGCGCUAUGCAGAUCUUGCAGAGA
rnacentral:lncRNA from 1 species